UACAGAGGUCCCAAGCGUUGUUCGGAUUCAUUGGGCGUAAAGGGUGCGUAGGUGGCGCUGUAAGUCGGAUGUGAAAUUUCGGAGCUUAACUCCGAAACUGCAUUCGAUACUGCGGUGCUUGAGGACUGGAGAGGAGACUGGAAUUCAUGGUGUAGCAGUGAAAUGCGUAGAGAUCAUGAGGAAGACCAGUGGCGAAGGCGGGUCUCUGGACAGUUCCUGACACUGAGGCACGAAGGCCAGGGGAGCAAACGGG
rnacentral:rRNA from 1 species